UACGUAGGUGCAAGCGUUGUCCGGAAUUAUUGGGCGUAAAGAGCUUGUAGGCGGUUUGUCGCGUCUGCUGUGAAAUUUCGGGGCUCAACCCCGAACUUGCAGUGGGUACGGGCAGACUAGAGUGUGGUAGGGGAGACUGGAAUUCCUGGUGUAGCGGUGAAAUGCGCAGAUAUCAGGAGGAACACCGAUGGCGAAGGCAGGUCUCUGGGCCAUAACUGACGCUGAGAAGCGAAAGCAUGGGGAGCGAACAGG
rnacentral:rRNA from 1 species